rnacentral:rRNA from 1 species
AGAGUUUGAUCAUGGCUCAGAACGUACGCUGGCGGCACGCCUUAUACAUGCAAGUCGAACGAAGUAGCAAUACUGAGUGGCAAACGGGUGAGUAUAAUGUGGGAAUCUGCCUUUUGGUUUGGAAUAACAUGAGGAAACUUAUGCUAAUACCGGAUAAGCCUUCACAGGGAAAGUUUUAUACGCCAAAAGAUGAGCCCGCACUUGAUUAGCUAGUUGGUGAGGUAAAAGCUCACCAAGGCAACGAUCAAUAGCUGUUCUUAGAGGAAGACCAGCCACAUUGGGACUGAGACACGGCCCAGACUCCUACGGGAGGCAGCAGUAAGGAAUCUUGCACAAUGGGGGAAACCCUGAUGCAGCGAUGCCGCGUGAGUGAAGAAGGCCUUUGGGUUGUAAAACUCUUUCGUCGGGGAAGAAAAUGACUGUACCCGAAUAAGAAGGUCCGGCUAACUUCGUGCCAGCAGCCGCGGUAAUACGAAGGGACCUAGCGUAGUUCGGAAUUACUGGGCUUAAAGAGCUCGUAGGUGGUUAAAAAAGUUGAUGGUGAAAUCCCAAGGCUCAACCUUGGAACUGCCAUCAAAACUUUUUAGCUUGAGUAUGAUAGAGGAAAGUGGAAUUUCUAGUGUAGAGGUGUAAUUCGUAGAUAUUAGAAA